GACGAACGCUGGCGGCGUGCCUAAUACAUGCAAGUAGAACGCACAGUUUAUACCGUAGCUUGCUACACCAUAGACUGUGAGUUGCGAACGGGUGAGUAACGCGUAGGUAACCUGCCUGGUAGCGGGGGAUAACUAUUGGAAACGAUAGCUAAUACCGCAUAAUAUUAAUUAUUGCAUGAUAAUUAAUUGAAAGGUGCAAUUGCACCACUACCAGAUGGACCUGCGUUGUAUUAGCUAGUAGGUGAGGUAACGGCUCACCUAGGCGACGAUACAUAGCCGACCUCGGAGGGUGAUCGGCCACACUGGGAAUGGGACACGGCCCAGACUCCUACGGGAGGCAGCAGUAGGGAAUCUUCGGCAAUGGACGAAAGUCUGACCGAGCAACGCCGCGUGAGUGAAGAAGGUUUUCGGAUCGUAAAGCUCUGUUGUAAGAGAAGAACGGGUGUGAGAGUGGAAAGUUCACACUGUGACGGUAUCUUACCAGAACGGGACGGCUAACUACGUG
rnacentral:rRNA from 1 species